rnacentral:lncRNA from 1 species
GGUGCAGAGAGGCACUGCAUCCAUUCUGUCUCCGGGUGAGGAGCAGCUCAGAUGGCCCCGGUAGCAGAAGGAACAGGGAUGGGACCAGUCCUGGUUGAAUACUCACAUCCAGGUGGCCACAGCAUGACAUAGGCUUGAGUGAACUGAGAGAACCAGCCUGGAUGGCAGAGCUUUUGUUUCAGCUCACCUGCACUGAAGCUGUUUCCCAAGAGGAUGACCCGGGUGCCUGCCUGGCUAAGUAACAAGCAAACAUUUCGGAGCCUAAGUUUGGGAAAGAGCCUGAAGGCCCCUACACCCUGAAGCAACAUUCCAAGCCUUGCUGCUCACAAUGCGGUCCCGGGACCAGCGGCAGCAGCAGCAGCCCAGGACGCUUGUUAGAAAUGCGGCACCUCCGGCCCCACUUCAGACGUUCUGAACCCAAAUCUGCAUUUUAUCACGAUCCCAGGUGAUUCAUGUGCCCGUUAGAGUGAGCGAAGCCCUGGAUUAGAGAACAGAAAUUAGACGUGACCCUUCCUUUGACAGGAAUUUAUCACCAGGCUCUAUCUCAAGAACUGUGAGAAUUCGGUUCAGAUGUUUGUGAUAACUCUGCAGCAGUAACUGACUAGCGUGGUGGUUCUCUUCCCUGACUGGGCGUUGGAAUCAGCGAGGGAAGUUUUAAAAGAUGUUGAUGUGCAGAAUUUACCCAAGAGGUUGUGAUUCAAUGGGUGUCUGGGAAGGGGCUGGGACAUCUGUGUUUACUUAGAGUUCCCCAGGUGAUUCUACUGUGCAGCCAGGGCUAAGAGGCCCUGGGGUACAAAUAUCAUCUUGAAUGGUUAGACUUCUUUCUGAAUGGGAGUGAUGUAAUUUCCGAUUUGCCCACCGAGCACAGCAUGCUGGGCCCUGAGGAUGUUACAGAAGUGGAUACCAUUAUUGCUCUCCAGGGACAAUUCAUCGAGGAACAAUAUGGCAUCUGCAAGGUGAAAAAAGAGCGAUAACAGGAGAUGCCGCAAAGUGUGGCUUCCAGACACAAGAGUGUGCUGGGAGGAGAGCUGAGGAGAUGAAGAAAAAGACCAGGAGAGAUCCAAGAAACAUUUCCAAAGAAUAACUGGGGGUCGUGAAGAGUUGUCAGGACACAAGGAAUGGAAAGAGGACAAAGAGGACCGUAUGAGUAAUUUUCUAAAUGGACUGCAGAGGGCCCGCUCACCGUUGACACAAAUCUGGUUGUGAAGGGAAAGACUCCUCUGCAAAAGAAGCAGCCCUCAGUCUCUUGGGACACUCUGAAUGUCCUAUCCAGCAUCUUGGCGUUUGCACUCACCUUUACUUUUCAGACCAAGACCACCCAGAGGACACCCCCUGUUGGCGCCUGGGUGGGAUGCUUGAGUGUCUGGGAAACCUGCCUGCUAUCCCUAUACCAUCAUUCCUUGGGAAGUUGCCCCAAGGCUGAAUCUGCUGCGGAACCUGCAGCUUCAGCAGGGCUGUGUCCCCUUCCUCUGCUCCUGUCUCAGGAAGGAGGACCCAGAUCUGUUCAGGAUCUGAAGAUUGUGCCCAUCUUCUCAUCCAUCCUCUCUUCAUCCCAGGAAGCCCAGCUUUGAAGACCCAAGAUGACCCCAGGAUACCACAGCCUCCAGGCUCAUGCUAGAAAAGAAAAUAACCCUCCAUGUCUGUCAAUCAGGAACAUGCAGGAAGCCCUGGAGGCCCCAGGAAGUGCCAGGAGCAGCAGGUCUUGACAGAAAUAUCUGCACAAAUAGCUCCCAGUGGGUUUGAUCUGAUGUUGCUGCUACAAUUCCAGAUCCUACAAAGGCCCUAAAGAGAGAUGCAAGGUACAAUGUCUCUCAUGGGACAAUUUUUAAUUGGCAGAGCUGAGGGGAAUAAUUCCUUGUGUCUUUGCCCAAUGCCAUCUUUUUCUCUUUUGUUCUUAAUUUUUUAUCUCUGGCCCUGGUGAACAUUUGUGGUAGAAGUUUCUAACAAUAGCAACCACAUCGGUGAUCAUGGCUACUAAUUAUUAAACACCUCCCUCUACAAACCAACUUCUGGGCUGGCUGCUUUACGGGUAUUAUUUCUAAUCCAGACAAUAACCAUGCAAAGUGGGUGAUAUUCUUCCCAUUUUACAGAUGUGGAAAUUCAGCAGAAACAACAGAAUUCACAUACAAAGACUUCUGAUUCUGGAAUUAUCAAACACCGAAUAUAACUGUUUUCGAUAAAUGAAAGAGCAUCUUUAAAAUAUGAGUAAAGGGUAAGCAUAUUUGUGAAAGAACAGAAUGGAACUUCUAGAAAGUGAAAGUCUAGACAUAAAAUAAAAUAAAAAUUUAAAACUCAGGAGAGACAGCCCAGCACGGUGGCUCACGCCUGUAAUCCCAGAACUUUGGGAGCCUGAGGCAGGUGGAUCACCUGAGGUCAGAAGUUUGAGACCAGCCUUGUUAACAUGGUAAAACCCAUUUCUACUAAAAAUACAAAAAAUUAGCCAGGCGUGGUGGCAGGCACCUGUAAUCCCAGCUAUUCGAGAGGCUGAGGUAGGAGAAUGGUGCGACCUGGGAGGCGGAGGUUGCAGUGAGCCAAGAUCGCACCAUUGCACCCCAGCCUGGGCAACGAGAGCAAAACUCCAUCUCAAAAACAACAACAACAACAGCAACUCAGGAGAGACUUUGCGAACUGGAGGACAGAACUGGAGAAGUGAUCUAGAAUGUAGCCCAGAGAGAUAAAUAGAUGGAAAAUGUAAAAGAGAUUAAAAGCCAUGGAGAAUAAAGUAAGAUGGUCUGGUGUAUAAUCAGAGUUUCAAAAAGUGAGGGAAGAGGGAAAGGGCCUAAGGCAGUUUGAAGGCCUAAUGGCUGAGAAUUUCCUAGAACUGAUGACUGCCACUAGUCCACAGAUUAAGAAUUUGAGCUGAGUCCUGAAGAUGGAAAGCGUGGACUUUGGAUGCUCACAAUGUGGUAUGUGAGAAGCAGUUUGUCUGCAGAGGGUGUUGGGAGGGCGGCACGCUAGGAACUGGCCUUCUGGGACAGAGAGCAGAUCCAGAGCCUCCAGGGGGCUUUGGGGGAAUGUGCACAGCACAAAGCUGAGCCCUGCCUCCCAGGGGAGGAACAUCAGGAAAAUUUGCCCUACCCCUGGAUGACACAGCAAGAAUAGCAGGUGGUUCUGUGGCGUCAUUUGGAGACAUUUCUGGGAAAGGGAGAGAAGGGAUGUUAAUAUACCCAUUGUAUGGAUUAGGGAAUUGAAGCACAAACAACAGAGUUCCAUAAAGAAAGUGACAGCAGCCCUGGGAUCAGAGCUCUUUCCUCUGGUCCCCAGGGCAGGCCCCUCUGGGUAACUAACAGAUUCUCCAGUUCACCUGUUUGGCAGUCAGCCAAAGCAUGGAUGGAGCCACUGGCAUCAUUUCCAGCCCUGAUGGGAUUUUCAGAAGCAAAAGCGAACAAAGGACAUUGCCGUGUCGCACUCUCUCCCAGACCCAGGUCUGCAUCCCUUCCCCACAGGCAAAGUCCUAAUGACCUCCGGCUGUGUCAACCUGAUGACUUAGACUCCACUGGGGCAGUGUUGUCACAUCUGUGUGACGUGCACAUGAGUCAAUUUAGGAGCAGCAGAGCUAUCACUGAAAACUGAAAACAAGUCUGACACAUACUGUCCUACGCGCAAUGUGGUGAAACAGCAGACCAAGCCCCACAGCGCCAAACUGUCUGCCUGGUCCCCACCUCCGCCUCCCCUCUACCUUCACCUUGGUCGUUCCAGGAGAGCAGGAGACAGUGUUGGUUGUGGUUCAGCUUUCCAGCUCAUCCAAACUCAAAUUCCAGGCCUCUGACUUUCACAAGGUAUCUAACACCGCUAAGCCUCAGUGUUCUCACCUGUACGAUGGAGUCUGUACUAGCUCUUGGAAUUAAACAAGACUAUGUGUUUUG